rnacentral:rRNA from 1 species
UACGUAGGGGGCGAGCGUUGUCCGAAGUUACUGGGCGUAAAGCGCGCGUAGGCGGUCAUUUUAAGUUCGGGGUGAAAAGGUUCAGCGCUCAACGCGAAACAGUGCCUUGAAUACUGGGUGACUUGAGUUCGGGAGAGGGCAGCAGAAUUCCCGGUGUAGUGGUGAAAUGCGCAGAUAUCAGGAGGAACACCGGUGGCGAAGGGCGGGGUCUCUGGGCAAUAACUGACGCUGAGGAGCGAAAGCCAGGGGAGCGAACGGG